AACGAACGCUGGCGGCAGGCUUAACACAUGCAAGUCGAGCGCCUCGCAAGAGGAGCGGCAGACGGGUGAGUAACGCGUGGGAAUCUACCGUGCCCUACGGAAUAGCUCCGGGAAACUGGAAUUAAUACCGUAUACGCCCUUCGGGGGAAAGAUUUAUCGGGGUAUGAUGAGCCCGCGUUGGAUUAGCUAGUUGGUGGGGUAAAGGCCUACCAAGGCGACGAUCCAUAGCUGGUCUGAGAGGAUGAUCAGCCACAUUGGGACUGAGACACGGCCCAAACUCCUACGGGAGGCAGCAGUGGGGAAUAUUGGACAAUGGGCGCAAGCCUGAUCCAGCCAUGCCGCGUGAGUGAUGAAGGCCCUAGGGUUGUAAAGCUCUUUCACCGGUGAAGAUAAUGACGGUAACCGGAGAAGAAGCCCCGGCUAACUUCGUGCCAGCCGCCGCCGUAA
rnacentral:rRNA from 1 species